UGGAGUGUAGCUCAGUGGUAUGGUAUUUGCUUAGUAUGUGCAAGGCCCUGGGUUCCAUCCCCAGCACCCCAA
rfam:Ictidomys tridecemlineatus contig000850, whole genome shotgun sequence.